CGUAACAAGGUCUCCGUUGGUGAACCAGCGGAGGGAUCAUUGCUGGAACGCGCUUCGGCGCACCCAGAAACCCUUUGUGAACUUAUACCUAUUUGUUGCCUCGGCGUAGGCCGGCCUCUUCACUGAGGCCCCCUGGAAACAGGGAGCAGCCCGCCGGCGGCCAACUAAACUCUUGUUUCUAUAGUGAAUCUCUGAGUAAAAACAUAAAUGAAUCAAAACUUUCAACAACGGAUCUCUUGGUUCUGGCAUCGAUGAAGAACGCAGCGAAAUGCGAUAAGUAAUGUGAAUUGCAGAAUUCAGUGAAUCAUCGAAUCUUUGAACGCACAUUGCGCCCUCUGGUAUUCCGGAGGGCAUGCCUGUUCGAGCGUCAUUUCAACCCUCAAGCCUGGCUUGGUGAUGGGGCACUGCCUUCUAGCGAGGGCAGGCCCUGAAAUCUAGUGGCGAGCUCGCUAGGACCCCGAGCGUAGUAGUUAUAUCUCGUUCUGGAAGGCCCUGGCGGUGCCCUGCCGUUAAACCCCCAACUUCUGAAAAUUUGACCU
rnacentral:rRNA from 1 species